rnacentral:lncRNA from 1 species
UCUUGUUCUUGUUUCAUUUUUUUUAUUGACUAUUAUUAAUCUUUUUUAUUUGAAGGAAACAGGAACCGAUUCACCGAUUCAUGUGAAUUAUGCCCAUCUCAAUUUUCUCAACUAUAAGUAGAAAUUGAAGUAGCAGCUAACCAAACGCGCAAGCUGUCUUCUCUUCACAUUGCUGUUGCUAUAAAAUAUAAAUUUGCUUUCAUGGAUAAUUAGGUCGGCUUCAAAGUUAAGCGUCAUCUAAUAGUGAAAGCAUUAAUUAGUGAUUUUAUAACAUCUUUAUAAGGUAAGCAUGUUUCCAUUAUUAGUUUUGAAGAUAUCAAGCUCCUUCAAAUUGGACAUAUAUAUUCCUUUUUAAUUGGGCAAAAAUGUCAAGGUGGUGGUUCUCAAUCACAAGCUUAAAUUCACCAAGUAAAUAUCAAGGAUCUGUCAAUAUCUUGGACUUAUAUUAUUUAUUGAUGCUUUUGGUUUCAAUAAGGUCUUCUAAAAAUAUUAUCCAAUCAAAAUUAUGAAAAAUUCUUACACACGCCUAAUUUUGCAUCAAAUAUAAAAGAAAUAUCAGCCGAGCCGCCUAAUCUAAACAGUCAUUAAAAUUAACUACGAUUGUUGUAUAUGACACUUUUACAGUUUUGUAACGCGCAUUUUUGUUUGGAUUUUAAAAAGAUGGAUUCUUGAUGGGAAUAUAAUUUAGCAUCGUUCCAAAGAAUAAUAGUGUGUUAAUUUGACUUAGCACCCCAUUCAUUCACGGCCAAAUUGAGUAGAAUACAAUAGGUAUUUCUAGAGCUGGCAAAACGGGUCAUCGGGUCGUGUUCGUGUCGUGUCAGCUUCGUGUCGUGUCAAAUUUAGGUCGAUCCAAACUCGACCCAUUUAAUAAUCGUGUCAAAAUAUUGAGACCCAAACCCGACACGGAAAAAUAAUCGGGUUACCCAAUAACCCGUUUAAUAUCUAUAUAUUAAACAAAAGUUACAUCAAAUAUUUACACACUAUCAUACAUACGUAUGUACAUAACUACAUACAUACAUAAUUUAUCGAUAUUAUAAAAUAUACAUAUCUACCAAUAUAUUACACAUUUACACUAUUGAGGUUUUAAUUAUAUAUAUAUAUAUAUAUAAUAUUAUAUAUCAAUAUUAUAAAAUAUACAUGUCUAUCAAUUUUUACACAUUUACACUAUUGAAGCUCUAAAUGUAUGUAAAUUUUUAUAAAUAAAACACUGUGUUUAUAUUCACCCUUUUAAAGAAUAAAAAAAGAAAAUCAUCUCUAAUAUUUGAGUUUUAAUUAUAAGAAUAUGUAAAUUAUUUUAAAAUAGAAAAUAUAAUCGGGUCAUUGAUCGGGUAAAUGGGUCAAGAAUUUUAACCCAAACCCGACACGGAAAAAAAUCGUGUUGACCCGGACUCGACCCAUUUAAUAAUCGUGUUAAAUUUGACUACCCAUACCCAUUUAUUUAUGUCGUGUUCGUGUCGGGUAAUCGGGUCGUGUCAAAUUUUGCCAGCUCCAGGAAUUUCUAACUCUAUUUUUUCUAGAAUGUUAGUGUGAUACAUAUCAAUAUGCACAAUCAAUCUUACUCAUUAUUUGGUUUUUUUUUUUUUUUUAAUUCUUGUAGGUCCUUCGAGCUAAGGACAACAUCUAUGCAAAGUGAUGCCGGCAUAAGAAAUUAAAUAAUUCUAAUGUAUGCAGUUGGGUAAUCUGACCCAGUGGUUAAUUCGUUCCAUGCAACCCUUCUUUUACACAAGUGGAGUGGGCAUAAUCUUAUUGACCAUUGCUUCAGAGCCUCGGUGUUUCUACAAUUUUCUUUUUAAAAAGGGUGUUUCUAUAAAUAAUAAAUUUGAUUAGCAAACUUUUAUUAGAGAAAACUAUAACAAUUCUCCUCAAAUAAUGCAAGAAAUUUUAUUUUUUAAGAUAUUCCGCAAAAAAAAAAAAAAAAAGCAUUGAUUUUUCAGUUUUUUUGGUUUGGUGUACGACGAAGUGAUCACAAUAGGAUACAUCCUUUCUGACAAAACUAAUGACUCUGAUUGAACCGUCAUGCGUCAGAAAGACAACCACCUGUUAUGUUACCUUCUUUCAAAGCAGUUACUUAUAUUUGUUUAGCCAUUUAAGCAACCUGGUUUAACAAUUAAUAUUUAACAAAUAAAUAAAAUUGUAGCAUAAAUAUGGACAAAGAUUUGCUGGAAAAUUCAAGACUGGGCAAAAGUUGAAAAAGCAAGAAAUAAAGUCACCCAUUUACACUGCGC